GAUGAACGCUGGCGGCGUGCCUAAUACAUGCAAGUCGAGCGAACAGACGAGGAGCUUACUCCUCUGACGUUAGCGGCGGACGGGUGAGUAACACGUGGAUAACCUACCUAUAAGACUGGGAUAACUUCGGGAAACCGGAGCUAAUACCGGAUAACAUGUUGAACCGCAUGGUUCAACAGUGAAAGACGGUCUUGCUGUCACUUAUAGAUGGAUCCGCGUCGCAUUAGCUAGUUGGUAAGGUAACGGCUUACCAAGGCAACGAUGCGUAGCCGACCUGAGAGGGUGAUCGGCCACACUGGAACUGGCACACGGUCCAGACUCCUACGGGAGGCAGCAGUAGGGAAUCUUCCGCAAUGGGCGAAAGCCUGACGGAGCAACGCCGCGUGAGUGAAGAAGGUCCUCGGAUCGUAAAACUCUGUUAUUAGGGAAGAACAAAUGUGUAAGUAACUAUGCACGUCUUGACGGUACCUAAUCAGAAAGCCACGGCUAACUACGUG
rnacentral:rRNA from 1 species